AUCAAAGCAGACAAGAGGAGAGGGCAUUGUGGGGGGGGGAGGAAAGAGGGGGGACUGUGGGGAAGUGGGUGACCAGAUUGGAGCUCUUCACAUGCUCUCUGAUUUUUCUUCUCCAUCUGCACCAGUGCUGAGCAUGUGAAGAGCUCCAAUCUGGUCACCCACUUCCCCACAGUCCCCCCUCUUUCCUCCCCCCCCCACAAUGCCCUCUCCUCUUGUCUGCUUUGAUUUU
rnacentral:sRNA from 1 species